rnacentral:rRNA from 1 species
AACGAACGCUGGCGGCAGGCUUAACACAUGCAAGUCGAACGCCCCGCAAGGGGAGUGGCAGACGGGUGAGUAACGCGUGGGAACGUGCCCUUCGCUUCGGAAUAGUCCCGGGAAACUGGGUUUAAUACCGGAUACGCCGUAUUGGGAAAGAUUUAUCGGCGAAGGAUCGGCCCGCGUUGGAUUAGCUAGUUGGCGAUGUAAUGGAACACCAAGGCGACGAUCCAUAGCUGGUCUGAGCGGAUGAUCAGCCACACUGGGACUGAGACACGGCCCAGACUCCUACGGGAGGCAGCAGUGGGGAAUCUUGGACAAUGGGCGCAAGCCUGAUCCAGCCAUGCCGCGUGAGUGAAGAAGGCCUUAGGGUUGUAAAACUCUUUCGCCGGUGAAGAUAAUGACGGUAACCGGAGAAGAAGCCCCGGCUAACUUCGUGCCAGCCGCCGCAGUAACAC